GCACACAGGAUACAUAAUUAACCUUUCCCUAAUUAUGUGAAAAAUUUAAUGGUUAGCCUUUACAAUUAGGCUUUUACAAUGGCCUCUGUAUUUUUGACUUAUUUAUUUCAUUAGAAUUAGUUCUUGGAAGAGAAAGUCCUUUGUCAAGGAUGCACAUAUAAACUUUAAAAGUUCCUCUCAAAGAGGCGUGUACUGAUUUCCCUCCCCUUAGAGUGGUUCCGUGACUUUUCUCCACUGCUGACUGGCGGGCAGGAUCAAAUGUGCCUGUCUGAAGACCAGGAUGAGUCCUUGUUCUUGUGUGGAUUUCGUUGAUUAACUUCCUCUCGGGCUAGAACUUUUACAUUUUUAAUGUGUUUGCUCCUGGCUGUCUGCUUCCCGUUCCUUUGUGACGGUUCGGCUGUUCCCGUUCUUUCUUUUCCCUCCUGGGGUUUGGGUCUCCUUCACACUGGCUCACUAGAAGAAUCCUUUCAGGUGUUUUCGACUGUUAUUUCGUUUUAAUUUUGAACCAAUUUUAGACUAACAGAAGCUGUAAAAGUAGCACCUAUAGUUCUUGCGUGCCGGUUACCAGGAUGUCUGAUCAUUCCUCACCCUUAAUAACCCUGAAACAAUGGCCAGAACCAGGAUAUCAACAUGGCGCGGUGCUGCUAGCUAAAUGGUAGAAUUGCACCGAGCAUUGGCGGUUUCUAUUCAUUUCCCUUUCCUGUUGUAAGAGCUGAUCUCGGAUCCCGCGAUAGGUUAUUGAGCAGUUAUUUCUUUGAUGUUCUCCGUCCUCUAACCACUGAUCUUUUUAAGGUCUCAUUGACCUUCAUCCACGAAGAGAACUGAUUCCUCACUUCUUUUUUUCUGUUUGUAAAUGUUUUCUCAUGUGGAUUCCAGGCAAGAACACUACACAGUACCAGAUAUAUCGUACACCUUUGUGCUCCUUGGUCUUUGUUGACAUGACACAACUGGGAAGGUAGAACCUCAGUUGAGUAAUUGUCACCAUCAGAUCGGUCUGGAGGAACUUCUUGAUUGUUCAUUGAUGUAGGGGGUGCAGAGGAAUUUUAAUCCAGCAACGUGACUUCUCUGAUCACACCCAAAGACCUUCUAGGUCUGUGUGGUCUGGCUGGAAUACAGACACACCCUUAGUACACACCUUCAAUCCCAAAGAAUGACAUCUAACUGAGGGACAGACAAAGGGACGAAUCAGAGACAGACUUGGCAGAAUGACUCAGAGAUAAGAUACACCCAACUCUCACAAAAAUAGACAGGAAAGGGAACCUAUUUGAGAGUAAUGCAGGAAGGUGAGGUGGGAGUCAGUUCAGUAGAGUGCAGUUGGAUUCAGUUCUGUUCAGUUCUUGCAGAGUGCAGUUCAGUUCAUGGAGUUUAGAAGCAGUUUUUCCAAGCAGAACAGUUCAGUAAGAAGCUGAGAGAAGCCAGUUUGAACCAGUCAGUUUUGAGAGGAGUUUUUAAUUUGAACAGCUAACUUGAAGCAGUCAGCCAGAGUUCAGAAAGAAACUUAUUUACCAGUAGGCCUCCAUGAUGACAAUUACAUAUGGCAAAUAAAAGUUACAUUUACAAGGAGGGUCCAACCUUCUGUGGGUAGUCUUAUGUAUGUCUGGGCAGCUGGACCUGAGUUACAUAAGAAGGGUUGAAGAUAAAACCAGGGGAAACUCUCUAUUGAUUUCUGCUUAAGUUCCUGUCUUGAGUUCUUGCCUUGGAUUCCCUCAUUGAUAGACUAUAUAACCUAUAAGCUGAAAUAGAGCCUUUCUGUCCCAAUUUGAUUUUAGUUAGUGUUUUAUCACAACAAAUGGCAAACCAUGUAAGAGAAUUCAUAGAUAAUAUUAUCACAGGGUUAAGUCCUUAUUAUGAUUUCCUUAGUAUAAAGUUUUGUUGAUGUUUAUAUAGUUCUCAGGGGAACUUUGAAACCACACAGCAUUUGUAUAUAUUUAGUUUAUCACACAUAACAUUAUAUCAUAUUUGUACCUCAACAAUUUAUCUAUGUGGUAUUAUUGUGUACAUGCAUUUUUUUUGAGACAAGGUCUCUAGCCUAGGCUGGCCUUGGAUUUCCUAAACACUUGAGGAUCACUUUGAACUUCUUAUCCCCACCUUAGAAGUGUUGGGAUCAUCAGUCUUUUAUAUCCUUGGGGUUUGAACCAGGGCACUGUGUAUGCUGGGUAAGCUUGCUACCAAGUGCGCUGUAGCCUUAGAUGCAUGUGCACGUUUCUUUUGUCAAAAUUAUGUGUUCAGAUUGUGACUGUACCUUUGUUCUUCCCUUUUGAACCAAUAAUUAUUUUAUUUUAUUUUAUUUUUUUUACAGGAGCCCACAGUUUCUAUUUUUAAAGAGAUUUUGGAGUUUUACAAAGACUUUGGAUUUUUAAAAGAAAGUUUGAAUAUUUUAAAGAGACUUUGAACUUUAAAGAAUAUUUAUUAGAUUUUAUGUGCAUUGGUGUUUUGCUUGCAGGUGAGGGUGUCAGGUGCCCUAGAACUGGUUACAGACAGUUGUGAGCUAUCAUGUAAUUGCUGAGAAUUGAGCCCUCUAGAAGAGCAGCUAAUGCCCUUAACCACUGAGCAAUCUCUCUGGCCCUGGUUUUGAAAAUUAUUCUUUUAUUUAUUAAUUUAGUAUCUCAUAUAUUACAUCCCAACUGCAGUUUCCCCUUCCUUUUUUCCCCCCACCUCCUCCACCCAACCCUACCUACUCUUUCCCCAUUUGUGCCUCCUCUACUUCUGUUCAGAAAAGGGCAGGACUCCCAAGGAUAUCAACCAAACAUGACAUUUCAAGUUGCAACAAGAUCAGGAACCUACCCUUGACAAGGCCACGGAGUAAGAAGCCAUGGCUUUGAAAUUUUAAGUGUCUGAAUAUUUAAAGACUGUAAGGCUUUCAAAUUUUGGACUAUUUUAUAUUGUGAUGCUCAUAUUAAUGUGAGAUAUUGGUGGCUGAAUAAGAAAAGAAAGCUUGUGGCUUAAUAGUGCUCUGUGUGUGUGUGUGUCUGGUUGAUAAGGGGUCAGUCAUGUUGGCUUGUUUAUGUCAACUUGACCCAAGCUAGAGUCAUUGGAUAAUAGGGAGGCUCAAUUGAGAAGAUACUUCUAUACUGUCAUGCUGUAGGCAAGCUUGUAGGGCAGUUCUUAGUGAUUGGUGUGUGUGAUGGUUUGUAUAUGCUUGGCCUAGGGAGUGGCACUAUUAGGAGGGGUGACCUUGCUGGAGUAGGUGUGUCCCUGUGGGCAUGAGCUUUGAGACCCUCAUCUAGCUGCCCGGAAGUCAGUAUUCUGCUAGCAGCCUUCAGAUGAAGAUGUAGAACUCUCAGCUUCUCCUGCACCAUGCCUGCCUGGAUUCUGCCAUGUUUCUACCUUUGAAUCUAUAAGCCAGGCCCAGUUACAAGUUGUUCUUAUAAGAGUUGCCUUAGUCAUGGUGUCUGUUCACAGCAGUAAAACCCUAAGGCAAUGUGUGAAGGGUCAGCCCAUUGUGAGUGGGGCUAUCCCUGGUCCUGAGUUGGAUAAGAGUGUAGGCUAAACAAGGAAUGGAAAGCAAGCUAGUAAUCAGCACCCCUCCAUGGCUUCAGGUUCCUGUCCUGUUAGAGCUCGGGUCCUGACUUCCUUCAGUGAGGAACAAUGAUAUGGAAGUGUAAGCUAAAUAAAGCCUUUGCUUUGGUCAUAGUGUUUCAUCACAGCAGUAGUAAGUCUAACUAAGACAAAGUGGUACCAGGGUAGAGGGGUAUUGCUGUGAAAGACCUGACCAUGUUGUUUUUAGAAGGAUGGGGAGGACUUUGGAACUUAAAGCUUGAAAAGCCACAGAAUGUUGAAAGCUCAGUGGGCUGAUUUGUAGCGACGGACGAUGGAGGUCUUGUGAAGUUUCAGAGGGAAGACUUUAGCCUGGCCCUUUGAUGUUUUGAAUUAAGACUCUGUGAUUCUGGUUAGCUGGAGCUGAGAGUCAGCUGUGAUUAACAAGGGACCAGAACCGGAAAUCUUUGCUUUACUGGGACAAUUGAUAUUAGAGCUGAGAAAUUAGCAGUGAUUAAGAAGAGACCAACAUCACUGAGGUGAGAUCUUCUGGGAAAUAUUUCCUGAGAAGUAGAAAACAGAAACUCUGUUCCAGAGGAGGCCAGGACUGUACCUUGUGCUGGUAGCCAAACUUGCUAGUGUAAGAGUUGUCCAGGUGGUGCUGGUUCUGACUGUGUCAAGGGGUCCUGGAGAGCAGCUGAGGCUUGGUACUGAAUUAUUAAAGUGUUUGAAUGCUUAAGUGUGUGAAACUUUUUAAGUUUGUAAAAUAUUUUAUAUUUUGAUAUUAAUAUUAAUGUUUAAUUUGGGAGAUAAACAAGGAAGGAAGCAUUGUGGCUUAACCAUGAUGUGUUUGUCAAGUUGAUAAGGGGUCAGUUGUGCUUGCUGGUUUAAUGUCAACUUGACGCAAGCUAUAGUCACCUUAGAGGAGGGACCCUCAGCUGAGAAAAUGCCUCCAGGAGACACAACUUUAAGCAGACAGGUAUGUGGGGCAGUUUCUUAAUUAGUAGGGGAGGGCAUUAAUUUUGGGUGGGUCAGCACUGGGCUGAUGACUCUGAGUCCUGUAAGAAACAGACGGAGAAAACCAUGAGGAGCAAGCCAGGAAGCAGCAUCCUUCCAUGUCCUGCGCAUCAGCUCCUGCCUCCAGGUUCCCUGUGUUUGAAUUCCUGUCCUCAUUUCUUUCAAUGAUGAGCAGUGAUGAGGAAAUGUAAGUCUAAUAAACCCUUUCCUCCCCAGGUGGCUUCGGUCAUGGUGUCCUAUCACAGUAAUAGUAACCCUAACAUGACCCCAAGCUUCCAGGAGUCCUCCUGUCUCUGCCUGCCCUUUCCCUAGAGGAUCAUUAGGACUACAGGUGUGUGCUGCUGUACCCGACUUUAGGUGGACUUGGAUUCCAACAUUAAGUAUUCGUACCUUAUUUUGACUGAAGGCCAAGUCCGAGUCUCACACUAUGAGAGGCAGAAUAAAAGUUUUUGUUCCAAGUCUAAUUCCAGGGCCCAUGCUCUGUGCUGUCUCACCCAGACCGGAAGGGAAGUAUGAUGCAGCCUGAGCAUCUGCGCCUGUGUACACUGCCAAUGCACAGCUCAGAGAAGAGAAUGAGAUGCCCGCAGAGCCAUCUCCCCAUCGCAAGUCAAAGAGAUUUAUUUUUACUAAGCUUUAGCUUCAAAUUUAACAUAUCAAUGUUAGCUUCAAUGUUAACGUAUCAGUGUGUAUUUUAAGUUAUAGGUGGGGUUAAGAGAAAGCAGACAUGUAGGUUAACUAUAGCAAUCUAUCACCAUAUUUAAGACAAAUGAUCUAAGGCAUUCAUUAUAUUGAUGGUUAGAUCAGUUACUUUUCUCAUUGUUGUGACUAAAUACCGAUACUGAACAAAUUGGGGGGAGAGAUUAAUUUGGCUUAUGAUUUAAGAAGGGACACGGGCUUUCGUGGCAGAGAUGCGAUGCAUCUGCGGUUAGGUAGCAAAGAGUGUGCAAAAGUGGGGUGGGGCUAUAAGCUGUCAAGGCCCACCACAGUGAUCUGCUUCUUUCACCAAAAUUUCCCCUACUCAAAAAGUUUCUGUAGCUUUGCAAAGCAGAAUUACAAGCUGGGGGGCCACACGUUAAAUUUAUGAGCCCUGGGGGAAUAUUUCAUAUUCAAAUCGCUGUUGUGUCAGAUUGGAAAGGCUUUCUAUGUAAAACAUGGUGAGAUAUUGCUUGAUUGAAACCCCAGACCUGUGGAAGAUGUUUUAAAGGAACACCGGAGGGUAGAGAUCAUGGGUUUCUGCCUAUGAAAGACCAACCAUAAGCUUAUGCAUGUUGAGAUUGCAGUGUCCUCCUCUGUCUGCUUUGUAUCCCUUUCUCAUAUCUGUACAGACAAACAAUAACGUUCAGAGAAGGCUUUCCAUUGUCCCAAAUACAAAUUGCCUUGUUUAGGUUCUGAAUUUGUCUCCCAUUAGCCACAUGAUCUUAGACAAAUCAGGAUAUUCAUGCAGGUCUCACGUGCCCAGCCUGUUUCUCAGGACAAGGUCAAUUGGUAGAACACAAAUGAAGGCGAUCGACAGCACACAAGACAACACAUUCGGGGCAUUAUUCACAGUGGUGUUGCAACCCCAGCCUCACAGGUGUUAAGUAUCGGUCACAAUGAUGCCAAUUUGUAUAUAAUGGAUGAAGGAUUCAUACAGAGUAUAUGGCAUGUACUCUACAGAUUUUAUUUUUGUAAUAUACGGUAUUGUGCUUGAUUCAUUUUCCUGGUGCAACUUCCUACCACACUUUGACAAACAAGGAAUGAGCUGCUUAUCUGGUGGGGAUUUAUAGCACAGGGAGCCCACAGUCUUGGAGGGUGUCAUUGGCAGUGUAAACAGCAAGGUUAACAUGGUUGUUUGCGAAAUAAAUACAAACUUCAGUUAGUAUUUCAUCUUGAAAACCAGCUUAGGAGUGCUUUUAGAUAACCUCUUAUAAUUGAAGUCCUUACAGAAGCUUGGCCCUAUAUUGAGUUUCAUCAAAUUCAAGGUCAGACAGAAAUUCUAACAUUAAUCAGUUCAAAAUAGUGCCUAUUGUCUUCUCCUGAAACUCGCUGGCCAUCACGCUCCUUUCUCCUGCCUCCCCCUUUCUUCUUGCACCUCAUAGGUUUAGUGUUUAAGAAAAUAUAAUUUCAUUAAGUCGGAUUCGUCACAGUGGAAAGGCAGUCCCUGCCUUUUGGUCGAGUGAAUGCCUUCUGAGUGGUUACAAGCACAGUCAAAAGCAGUUCAUUCUGAUUUGAUAAAUGCAUUGAAAGCACCUGAAAUUGUUUCAUCCUCUGUCUUUCUUCCCUUUUCAUCUUUUAGAGCAAUCAAAUGAAAUUUCACCUAGCUUUCCUAAUCGAAGUUGUCUGUCUGCUCUGCCCCGGUACUAAAAAUGCAUGUUUCAAUAAGCGUUCCUAUGUGACGGUAAGUGAUAAUGGCAUCGUAUUGAACUUGGGAACCAGACCCCGCUUUCACCUGCCUGGAACCCUGAGAUGUGUUCUCUCAUUGCACACAGUGUGAGGCUUUCAACCAUCAUUGUGAAGCACAUGACGUCCGAGCAACUGCAUUGGAGAUCAAGACUCCCCCACACAAGAGCUUUUGGAAGACAUUUUUAGAUCCAAGUAAGUCUGUGUAUUUCAGAUGUUAUUUCUUCCAGUGCAGGUGAUAUUUGUUUAUUAUAAAUCAUGAUUCUUGCAAUGGGACUUUGUGUCUACAAGGUGUCUUAUCCUGGGAAGGCAUAGGGUGUGCAGUGUCCUGUGGCCCGAGUAGCAAGACUGAUGACAUCAUGAGCUGGGCAUGCUGAGCUGUAGCUUGAACACUUGUUGGAAUACAAGUCAGAACAAUUACCUCUAAAUGGGGAAUUUGUUUUCUCUAGAACCCAGAGGCCCAGAUACUUGACUUUCAUUUUGGCAAAUAUAGGAUGCUGUAAAUUAAUGACCAAAUGAUCAAGUGUCUCUUGCACCCCUGUGCUAAGUCACCUUAGAUGCAGUAACUGAUAAAAGCUGAAAUCACAUCCAGAAGUCAUCGACAUGGAGCAAUUGGUCUCUGGUGCUGCUCUGGGUGGAAUAGGAACCACGUCGAACUGAAUUCACCCAUGGCUGACCUGCCUCUGUGCUUUGCUUGUGUUAUACACUGGCUAUGGAAACCUGAGGCAAUGUCUUUACAUCCAUGAGAACCUGCGCCCUUUGCCUGCAUAUUUGGUACUAAAGCUGUCGUGUCUUCCUCAGUGUUCUUAGAGGAAUUAACUGAAAACAUUAACAGUGUAAAUAUUGAAACUUACAAUAUAUACACAUAUGGAUAUUAUUGUUAUUAUUAUUAUUAUUAUCACCAUCCUCAUCACCACUACCACCACUACCAUCAUCAUCAUCAUCAUUACGGUAGCACUCUUACCUGUCAUUAGAACAGUGAACUGCAGUGCAGCGACACCAGAAUUGCUACAAGAAGAGAGAGAAGGGAGCUUGCAUAGAUUGCUGGAAGCUAUAAGUUAUAAAACAGCAUGCCAAGGGACAGUCCUAGCAGAUGUUCUGGGGACAUUUAUUGUGUCUUAGGCUGUUAGAAAAAAACUUCAAAUUCUCAAU